CUCUCAUUCUCACUCUCUCUCUCUCUCUCCCUUUCUCUCUUACACUCUCUCUCACUCUCUCUCUCUUUAAAUCCCGUUUCAUUUACUUCUUUGUUUCCUCGUAAGUUUAAGUCGCGUUUUGCACGACUGCAUCAUAAGCAUUAUCAUCGUCGUCAUCAUUAUUAUUAUGAUACAAUAUCUUUUUUUUUUUUUUUUAGGAGGGAGCUGAAUACCUCGGCAUACUUCUUUCCACUUCGUUUCAUCUUCUUUUUCUCCUUUACCUAUGUACAGACUUCUUUGUAUGAAAAAGGACCGGUCGAUAAAUGUAUCGAUUCCCCUUCAGGUUACAAACGAUUAUAGGUACAUACACACGACGUCCUAUCGAUAUUUCAGACAUCGUUUCUAGUCUAUAGAAUAGUCUAGAUCUUAGUGAUUUGCCUGUCGUGUCAACGAUAAUAUUCAUUUUCAUUUUUUCUUUUUUUGUAUUUUUUAUUUUUUCUUUUUUCUUUUUUUGUUCUCUUUUAUCGUGUCUGCGUGUUCUCUCGCGUACGCGUUCUUAUUCUUGCUCGACUUUGUCUUACGAUACUACAAAGUACCUAAAAAAGAAGGCUGCCAUUGUCGUACUCCGCUUUCUAACUCCAUUCUAAUGUAGGACACACUCGUUUCCGCUAUUAAUAACCCGAGAGUAUCGUUCGACAGUUCGAUCUGAGCAAAAACGUUAAUCUUGAAAAUAUUUUUACACGCAAUUACACGAUGUCGCGUCGCGUUGGCAUGUAUGUACAAAGAUCGACGCAUAGAUUAAAAGAGCGUUCGCAAUAAUCUUCCCCAACGCGUGUACGAGUCUCGCAGAAGCUAAAUUUACCAAUACUACAGCUUUUUAUCAGUCCUUUAACUGCAUUAUCCGAGCGUGCGAUUGACGUCCUUGAAAACAGGCAAUUUCUAUAAAUUUGCACAGUUUGCAAGAAGAUGGCACAAACAACCAAUUCCAGAUGAAAUUGAUUUUUAGCGUGCUUCUGUGACACUCGUAUGUAUCUUCUCUGUGUGUAUAGACUCGAUGCGUAUAGUAUAUAAAUACGUACAUUUCAGAAGAUUUCAUACUACGAAGAACUCACGAUGGAGCUGUCCAUGAUGAAGUUCGAUAAAACGGCGAGCGAGAAAAGUAAACGCGUUCUCGAUCAUCUACGUUAAAUGCGGCAGAAAGAAAGCAGAGAGACGCCAAGAGCACUCUUCGAGAAGUACAGUCGGGAUCACGUGUGAUCGCGGUUUAAAAAUUGCUGUCGCUCGCACUAUAUCUUCCUAUUUAUUCGUUUUAUCUUAAUUAUUCCAUUCUCUGUAUGUUAUCGUUCAUUUUAUUUAUCAAUUUUUUUUUUUUUUUAAUUUAUUGGAAGCAUUUAAACACGGUAUUCUUCAGGACUCCGAUUUUGUACAAUUUAAAAACCAGUUUCGUAGUUUCUUUUCGUCUUUUUCUGACAUGCUACGAUGAGUGUAAAGUUUCAUAAUACUACGAUUUAUGUUGAUUGUGAAUCGCCUUUACGUUUGGCUAAAAUAAAUGCUUUGUAUAUCUUAUGCGAGGCUGUAGAAUUUCCAUGGUGUUUCUUUUUUUUUUCUUUUUUUUUUUGUCUGCAUGAAAUCGAAUUUACACGGCACACAUAUGUUUACACAGGAUUCUAACUUUUUUUUGGCCAUGGCUUUGUUAGGAUAUUCCAUGGGUAUAAAUGAGAAACGAGUGUUAUGUAGACAUACGUUCUUUGAAGCUUUAUUAAAAGGUUUUGAGAAAUUGAUUUAUAGUUGCUACGUUAUAAGACAAGGAUAAGUUCACAAUCGAUAUAUAAUCAUUAAUUGUCACUUCAAAAUUGUCUACAAAGUUCAUUUUAUGAAUCAAUCAGAGUCUUUGUAUCAGGUUUUUCUUUAAAGAUGCUCACAAAAGUACAACGAUAUAAAAUUGAAGAUCUGGAAUUUGUAACUAUCGUUCUCUUUAGAUUUUUGUUUUGAUAAUAUUUUAAUAAAGCUUCAGACAAUCUAUAUAUUUGUAUAACAUCAUUUUUCCAUUUACAUCUAGAACAUCCUGACAAAGUUUGACUGGCAAAGAGACUUGAACAACCUGUAUACUUGUGACCUAACCACACUCUAUUUCCGUCACGUAAAUUUUUCUCACCACUACCUUUCUUGCGUACAAGACAGAUUAUCCAAAUAAUACUGAAAAGAUGCUCUCUGAUCGACAUCAUUUACGACGUAUCUCAUCUUGAACAACGUUUAUGCUGUGCACGUUGAACAGAGCGGUGUGUUAAAUCACUAUCAAAUGCUGAGGGAGGUAUUCAGAUUCACAUUUUUUGCUUGACACUCAUGAUCGAACAAAACGAUAUUAAUCUUGCAACGACACAUCGCUACCAAUGAAAAGUUCAAAUCAAAUCCAGAAGAGAGAAACAAUUUAUAUGUAUAUCGAUUUCGUUCGUAGUAGUGUAGACUCGAGUAUUUAAUAUAAUUGAAGAAUUGAGAAUAAAUAGUCGAUUAUCUUUUGACAUGACGCUUUGAAUAAAAAUUAACAACUUAAGAAAUUGGAAAGCCUGUCGACGAAAGAGGAAUGGCACUACCGUAUACACAUGUAUGUAUAUUGCAGUCACGAACCAAAUUUGCACACUGCCACCGAAGGAAAACAAAGUGCCAUUGCAGGGUUAAACCAUUGUAUAACGGGAUAUUGUGAUAAAGAUAACGCCCCGAAUUAUUUCGAGAUGAUGAUAAUAAUGGCGAUUAUAAUUUGACACUUGUGUGUUAUCAACCAAACGUAUAAUUCCUUGAACGACACAAUCUUAUCAUAAUCACAACAGCACGAGAAAGAACAGUGUGUCGAAAUAGCGAAUGCAUCGAUGAUCACGUGUUUUCUUAGUAUUCGAGAUCUUUCAAGACUCCUUUUUUACGUUGUCGUUUAAAAAUAUGUAAAAAUCGCGGCAUAAAACGCAGAAGUUCUCUCUUUUUUUUUUUUUUCGAAGUCAUAAGUUGAAAA